rnacentral:rRNA from 1 species
AACGUCGUGAGACAGUUCGGUCCCUAUCUGCCGUGGGUGUAGGAGGCUUGAGAGGAGCUGCCCCUAGUACGAGAGGACCGGGGUGGACGUACCUCUGGUGUACCGGUUGUCGCGCCAGCGGCAUCGCCGGGUAGCUAAGUACGGACGGGAUAACCGCUGAAAGCAUCUAAGCGGGAAACCCCCCUCAAAACCAGGUCUCGCCUAAGAGCCGUGGUAGACCACCACGUUGAUAGGCCGGGUGUGGAAGUGCGGCAACGCAUGAAGCUUACCGGUACUAAUCGUUCGUUCG